rnacentral:rRNA from 1 species
CCUACGGGAGGCUGCAGUGGGGAAUAUUGGGCAAUGGGCGAAAGCCUGACCCAGCAACGCCGCGUGAAGGAAGAAGGCUUUCGGGUUGUAAACUUCUUUUGACAGGGAAGAGCAGAAGACGGUACCUGUCGAAUAAUCCACGGCUAACUACGUGCCAGCAGCCGCGGUCAUACGUGGGUGGCAAGCGUUGUCCGGAUUUACUGGGUGUAACGGGCGUGUAGCCGGGCUGACAAGUCAGAUGUGAAAUCCGGGGGCUCAACCCCCGAACUGCAUUUGAAACUGUUGGUCUUGAGUAUCGGAGAGGCAGGCGGAAUUCCUAGUGUAGAGGUGAAAUGCGUAGAUAUUAGGAGGAACACCAGUGGCGAAGGCGGCCUGCUGGACGACAACUGACGGUGAGGCGCGAAAGCGUGGGGAGCAAACAGGAUUAGAUACCCCAGUAGUC